AGCGAGGCACUGGAGACGUCAAGCUUCUGAAGCAUAAGGAGAAAGGGACCAUCCGCCUUCUCAUGAAGAGGGACAAAACCUUGAAGAUAUGCGCCAACCACUAUAUCACACCAAUGAUGGCGCUGAAGCCAAAUGCUGGCAGUGACCGCGCCUGGGUCUGGAAUACCCACGCCGACUUUGCUGAUGAGUGCCCCAAGCCUGAGCUGCUCGCCAUCCGCUUCCUAAAUGCUGAGAACACACAAAAGUUCAAAACAAAGUUCGAAGAAUGCAGGAAAGAAAUUGAA
rnacentral:lncRNA from 1 species